rnacentral:tRNA from 1 species
GGAGGUAUAGCUCAGUGGUAAAGUGCUUUCCUAGUAUGCAUGAGGUCCUGGGUUCAAUUCCCAAUACCACAC